rfam:Ricinus communis cultivar Hale ctg_1100012357391, whole genome shotgun sequence.
AGGUACAUAGUUCAGUGGCAUAGCAUUUGACUGCAGAUCAAGAGGUCGCCGGAUCGAACCCGGUUGGGCCCU